rnacentral:rRNA from 1 species
GGUGAAAUCCUAUAGCUUAACUGUGGGAAUUGCUGGUGAUACUGUUGAACUUGAGGUCGGGAGAGGUUAGCGGUACUCCCAGGGUAGAGGUGAAAUUCUGUAAUCCUGGGAGGACCACCUGUGGCGAAGGCGGCUAACUGGAACGAACCUGACGGUGAGGGACGAAAGCCAGGGGCGCGAACCGGAUUAGAUACCCGGGUAGUCCUGGCCGUAAACGAUGCGGACUUGGUGUUGGGAUGGCUUUGAGCCGCUCCGGUGCCGAAGGGAAGCUGUUAAGUCCGCCGCCUGGGAAGUACGGUCGCAAGACUGAAACUUAA